AGCGGCGUAGGCCAGCCUGGUAGGCCGCAGGGCUCAUAACCCUGAGGUCCCUGGUUCAAGUCCAGGCGCCGCUA
rfam:Sulfolobales archaeon AZ1 contig04, whole genome shotgun sequence.